UGUCCAGACUCCUACGGGAGGCAGCAGUGGGGAAUAUUGCACAAUGGGGGAAACCCUGAUGCAGCGACGCCGCGUGAAGGAAGAAGUAUUUCGGUAUGUAAACUUCUAUCAGCAGGGAAGAAAAUGACGGUACCUGACUAAGAAGCCCCGGCUAACUACGUGCCAGCAGCCGCGGUAAUACGUAGGGGGCAAGCGUUAUCCGGAUUCACUGGGUGUAAAGGGAGCGUAGACGGCCAUGCAAGCCUGGAGUGAAAGCCCGGGGCCCAACCCCGGGACUGCUCUGGGAACUGUGCGGCUGGAGUGCGGGAGGGGCAGGCGGAAUUCCUGGUGUAGCGGUGAAAUGCGUAGAUAUCAGGAGGAACACCGGCGGCGAAGGCGGCCUGCUGGACCGCGACUGACGUUGAGGCUCGAAAGCGUGUGGAGCAAACAGGAUUAGAUACCCCGGUC
rnacentral:rRNA from 1 species